CACGUAGGGGACGAGCGUUGUCCGGAUUCAUUGGGCGUAAAGCGCGCGUAGGCGGCCAGAUAAGCCCGGUGUGAAAGUCACAGGCUCAACCUGUGAAUGCCGCUGGAAACUGUCUGGCUUGAGUCCGGAAGGGGCGAGUGGAAUUCCGUGGUGUAGCGGUGAAAUGCGCAGAUAUCAGGAGGAACACCAAUGGCGAAGGCAGCUCGCUGGAACGGUACUGACGCUGAGGCGCGAAAGCGUGGGGAGCGAACAGG
rnacentral:rRNA from 1 species